GAGGUACAUUUAAUUUUUUCCCCUAUGCAAUUUGCAUAGGUAUGUUUGUGAUAAAUUGAGUUGAUGCAAAGUUCAGCAGCAUUGUUUCAAAGUGUCUCAGUAUUGUACAUAGGAUGAAUUAUAGGUUGUUGGAAAAACAAAGUUGUCAGCGUUUUUCUUAUGCACAACAAACAUCAAAUGGAAUUGGAGAGUUUUGUGCUGUUUGACACUCCAUUUAAAAAAAAAAUACCCCAUUAUUAUUGGUGCUUGAUAUAUACAUUAUAAUUAAUGUAUUUUUUGUGCUAUGAAUGUUUUUGUAUUAUUUUGAUGUAUCGAAUGUAGAAAAGGGUUUUGGGAAAAAGUCAUUUUAAACCGAACAAACCCCAGGUACAUGUAGCACAGUUGAAUUAUUUGAUGGCUUUUUCUGUCAUUUGAAAUAUCAUGACAUUGUAUUUGCAAGUACAAGUACUACGUAUUGUGAAUAAAAGUUUGUUUACACUAUAACAAACAUGUACAUGUAUUGGCCAAUUAUUCUCCCUAUGUUUUUGAAUCAGGCUACUUGUCAAAGAAUCGUGUUCAUUACUGCACUAGUUUUGUGCUCUUAAUUGUUACUGCUUCAUGAUUUUUUUAUAAGACGUUUGAAGUAAAUGAACUUAUUUAU
rnacentral:misc_RNA from 1 species